rnacentral:ncRNA from 1 species
GAAAGAGGUUGCAAUUUUUAUUAGUAGGAAUUUAGGUAUGCAGAUUAUUGCUAAAUUAUGAAAGGAAAAAUUGCCGAAGUUAAGAAAAUGUAUCUGCCGUUUUCUUUUCUGGGGGAUUAUAGAAUAUAUAAUUCACUGUCGUAUGAAAAUACGGAGCGCUU